rnacentral:lncRNA from 1 species
AUGAGGAGCAAGAAUGCCCCCUCUCAUCCAGCCUUGUCAGGGCCAAGUGAAAGAAGCCCGGGCAGGCCUGGGGAAGCUGCCCAAGGAGCCUCAGUAGUCAAUGCUGGCAUCGUUUCUCUCUCAGCCCCGUCUCUGUCACUUUGAAGCUUUCUACUGGUUUCCUUUGAGUCCCCUCAGCUCCCCAGUCAGAUCAAGGAAGAGCUGGUUGUUGCUUUCACAGACUUCAGGGGCAAGCAGAUCUGAGUACCUCGGGGGUCAAACAGACCUGCCCCAACCACAGCGUUGAAGAGGAGAUCCAUUUCCUAAAAAUGGGGGGAGACGGCUAUUGGUGGGAUACUCUAUUCACAUCUGUCUCCACUGCAUGUCUACAGAACGGCUCCCUGUAGUCUGGGAGUAGCGUUCCCUGGCUUCUCUGAGCUUCCUGCGGUCCACGAAAGGCUGUUUCCCUUGACAGAAGCCUUUCCUCUUCUUCCAUAUCUGGUUGACUGCAUGUCCUUUGGAGCCAGCCCUCUGGACUGAGGACUUGAAUCUCUGAUUAAUCCGCCCAGUACUCAGCUCCAUGGCCUCAGUGGUGUCCACGAGACUCUUGACACGGGACCUAUUCACAAGGGAAGGCACCUCCCCACAGAUGCACCUGAAAGCCGUGGACCCUGUGAUUCUCAGGAAUUCGGCUGACUGAUGGAGCAAUCCUUCCCACACGGGUGAAGGUGGAGGACUCCCCUUGACCCAGACACACGGGUAUUCCGUGAGUUUCUUGACGGUGCCAGUUCCUCUGAAGUAUGGAUUUUACUCCUUGGUGUUGUCUGAUUAGAUAAACUCUCCAAGAUAAAGAUCCGGAUAUAUUGGCAAGGGACCUGGCUUUUAGAAAACAUAUUCCUCAGAUUUAAAGUUGUAGGCCCUCUUUUCUCUCCAGGUGUUUGGCACACAGUGGAUGAACC